UGCCACUAUUAGUUUAUCUGCAUUUGGUCAAGGUGGACCAUUUGGCUUUGGUUCCUUCAAUGAUAAGCGGAAGAAUCAGAAGAAGAAAUCUGACUCCACCAAUAAAAAUGAUCCAUCUUCUCAGAAAGGAAAUACCUCAAAACAUGAGGCACUGGGAAAUGAGUGGUUAGAAACAGGAAACUGUCCAAUUGCUAAAUCUUAUAGAGCUGUUAGUCGUGUACUACCACUCGUGGCAUCAACUUUUCAAUUGCCACCUGGUGUGAAGCUUAGAUGUCCACCUGCUGUAGUUGCUGCAAGGGCUGCCCUUGCACGGACUGCCCUCGUUAAAACCUUGCGACCGCAGCCACUACCUGCGAAGAUGUUUGUCAUUGCUCUCUUGGGCAUGGCAGCAAAUGUUCCCUUGGGCGUGUGGAAGGAACAUACUAGGAAGUU
rnacentral:misc_RNA from 1 species